rnacentral:snRNA from 1 species
UAUCGUUUUAAAUACCGUGAUAAAUUAUUUUUCAAGACAUUAAGAAUAGCAUGGUCCAUGCGCAAGGAUGACACGCACAAAUCGAAAAAUAGUUCAAAUUUUA